UACGGGGGGGAGCAAGCGUUGUUCGGAUUUACUGGGCGUAAAGGGCGCGUAGGCGGCCACCGCAAGUCAGUUGUGAAAUCUCUGGGCUUAACCCAGAACGGUCAGCUGAUACUGCGGGGCUAGAGUGCAGAAGGGGCAACUGGAAUUCUCGGUGGUAGCGGUGAAAUGCGUAGAUAUCGAGAGGAACACCUGCGGCGAAGGCGGGUGCUGGCUGACACUGACGCGACAGCGCGAAAGCUAGG
rnacentral:rRNA from 1 species